AUACGGAGGGUGCAAGCGUUAAUCGGAAUUACUGGGCGUAAAGCGCGCGUAGGCGGAUAAUUAAGUCAGAUGUGAAAUCCCUGGGCUCAACCUAGGAACUGCAUUUGAUACUGGUUAUCUAGAGUAUGGUAGAGGUGAGUGGAAUUUCAGGUGUAGCGGUGAAAUGCGUAGAGAUCUGAAGGAACAUCAGUGGCGAAGGCGACUCACUGGGCCAUUACUGACGCUCAGGUGCGAAAGCGUGGGUAGCAAACAGGAUUAGAAACCCGAGUAGUCC
rnacentral:rRNA from 1 species